rnacentral:rRNA from 1 species
GAUGAACGCUAGCUACAGGCUUAACACAUGCAAGUCGAGGGGUCUCGAGGAAGCUUGCUUUCGAGAGACGACCGGCGCACGGGUGAGUAACGCGUAUCCAACCUGCCCUUCAUAUUGGGAUAGCCUUCCGAAAGGAAGAUUAAUACCGAAUAACAUAGAGUGAUUGCCUGAUUUUCUCAUGAAAGCUCCGGCGAUGAAGGAUGGGGAUGCGUUCCAUUAGGUAGUAGGCGGGGUAACGGCCCACCUAGCCCACGAUGGAUAGGGGUUCUGAGAGGAAGGUCCCCCACACUGGAACUGAGACACGGUCCAGACUCCUACGGGGAGGCAGCAGUGAGGAAUAUUGGUCAAUGGGCGCAAGCCUGAACCAGCCAAGUAGCGUGAAGGAUGACUGCCCUAUGGGUUGUAAACUUCUUUUAUACGGGAACAAAUGUUGGUACGCGUACCGAUUUGCGUGUACCGUAUGAAUAAGCAUCGGCUAAACUCCGUG